AUUGAACGCUGGCGGCAGGCCUAACACAUGCAAGUCGAGCGAGCGGCGGACGGGUGAGUAAUGUAUGGGGACUGCCCGAUAGAGGGGGAUAACUACUGGAAACGGUGGCUAAUACCGCAUACUAUCGGAUAACCCAUAUGGGAUUAGCUAGUAGGUAAGGUAACGGCUUACCUAGGCGACGAUCCCUAGCUGGUCUGAGAGGAUGAUCAGCCACACGGGUACUGAGACACGGCCCAGACUCCUACGGAGGCAGCAGUGGGGAAUAUUGCACAAUGGGCGCAAGCCUGAUGCAGCCAUGCCGCGUGUAUGAAGAAGGCCUUCGGGUUGUAAAGUACUUUCAGUCGGGAGGCGUUACCCACAGAAGAAGCACCGGCUAACUCCGUGCCAGCAGCCGCGGUAAUAC
rnacentral:rRNA from 1 species